GGGCCUGUAGCUUAGUGGUGGAGCACCCGGCUCAUAACCGGGUGGUCGUGGGUUCGAACCCCUCCGGGCCCA
rnacentral:tRNA from 1 species